GUACACUCCUGCGGGAGGCAGCAGUGGGGAAUUUUGGACAAUGGGCGAAAGCCUGAUCCAGCAAUGCCGCGCGUGUGAAGAAGGCCUUCGGGUUGUAAAGCACUUUUGUCCGGAAAGAAAUCCUUGGCUCUAAUACAGUCGGGGGAUGACGGUACCGGAAGAAUAAGCACCGGCUAACUACGUGCCAGCAGCCGCGGUAAUACGUAGGGUGCGAGCGUUAAUCGGAAUUACUGGGCGUAAAGCGUGCGCAGGCGGUUUGCUAAGACCGAUGUGAAAUCCCCGGGCUCAACCUGGGAACUGCAUUGGUGACUGGCAGGCUAGAGUAUGGCAGAGGGGGGUAGAAGUCCACGUGUAGCAGUGAAAUGCGUAGAGAUGUGGAGGAAUACCGAUGGCGAAGGCAGCCCCCUGGGCCAAUACUGACGCUCAUGCACGAAAGCGUGGGGAGCAAACAGGAUUAGAUACCCGAGUAGUCCCAUGAU
rnacentral:rRNA from 1 species